UUCUCAGAAACAAAUUUCUCUCUGCGCUUCUCCUUCUCAAAAACAAAUUUCUUUCUGUCACGCUUCGAACUCUGUCACGCUUCUGAUUCGGUUUAUCUAAAGAACCCAGAAUUCGGCUUCUUCUUCUCUUACUAAUCAACCACAAGAACCCAGGGCAGCUAAACAAAACCCAAAGAAGAAACAGUAUCGGCCGGCGACGAUAUUUGAAAUAGUGAGUCUUGGAAUUUAGCACACGGGUCUAGAAGUUCCAUUGGACGAUGAAGUUAUAUAUGUAGACACUGUUCUGGAAAAAAAUUGGCAUUGAAGGUGAAGAUUAGUUUUUGGAUCUUGGUGGGAAAUCUGAUGCCUGUUGGCUAUAUACAGUAUGUUUCAGACCACGCUAGUGAUUUAAAUUCCUAAUCAACAUUUUUAUGUGGUAUCUAAUUUUCUGAAUGUGCUGGAAUUAGUUGCUAGCUAUGGUUGGAUAACAAUUUGAUCAUGGAGAUGAAAUUUGUGGAGUAGUUGUCAAUGUCAGAGC